rnacentral:rRNA from 1 species
UACGUAGGUGGCAAGCGUUGUCCGGAUUUACUGGGUGUAAAGGGCGUGUAGACGGGACGGUAAGUCAGAUGUGAAAUUCCACUGCUCAACAGUGGAGCUGCAUCUGAAACUGCUGUUCUUGAGUGUCGGAGAGGAAAGCGGAAUUCCUAGUGUAGCGGUGAAAUGCGCAGAUAUUAGGAGGAACACCGGUGGCGAAGGCGGCUUUCUGGACGAUAACUGACGUUGAGGCGCGAAAGCGUGGGGAGCAAACAGG